CAGACUCUUGGGCACUUGGGUAUCUUGGGUUUAAAAUAGCGAUUCUCUGAGGCCAUACAAUAGCAGGGGCUUAUAUGGGGCUCUGAGGAAGGGAAGGAGCAGAAUUGCACAAGAGGUUUCGGCUGACAUGGCCAAAAUAGCAGCAAAGCUUAGCAUUCCAAGCUGUUCCCAGCUGGCAUUCUUCCAAUCAGGCAUCUAACCUAUGAAGGGGGGAGAGAGUGGGUGGGCUGGUUGGAGGGCUCUUGUUAAAGCUUCACUCUUUCAAAUUGCCUUUCUCAGACCCUCCACUGGUUUCCACUGAAAGGACAUUCACCUGUUCUCUGCACAAGAGACAACUGAAAAUGUCAGACACUGAAGAGAUCAUUGAGGAAAAUGAAGAGUAUGAAGAUUUUAACUGAGCUGUUUUCUUUUUUCCUUUCAGGGAACAGGAAGG